rnacentral:rRNA from 1 species
UUCCAGACUCCUACGGGAGGCAGCAGUGGGGGAUAUUGCACAAUGGGGGAAACCCUGAUGCAGCGACGCCGCGUGAGUGAAGAAGUAAUUCGUUACGUAAAGCUCUAUCAGCAGGGAAGAAAAUGACGGUACCUGACUAAGAAGCCCCGGCUAACUACGUGCCAGCAGCCGCGGUAAUACGUAGGGGGCAAGCGUUAUCCGGAUUUACUGGGUGUAAAGGGAGCGUAGACGGCAUGGCAAGUCUGAUGUGAAAACCCGGGGCUCAACCCCGGGACUGCAUUGGAAACUGUCAGGCUAGAGUGUCGGAGAGGCAAGUGGAAUUCCUAGUGUAGCGGUGAAAUGCGUAGAUAUUAGGAGGAACACCAGUGGCGAAGGCGUCUUACUGGACCGAAACUGACGUUGAGGCUCGAAAGCGUGGGGAGCAAACAGGAUUAGAUACCCUUGUA